UCCUUCUUUCAAUCAACAGAUUUGAGCCUUUUUGUCCUCUAAAGUCCUAGACUUGAGAGUUGAUAAUUAUGGCAACUCAAUCAAGAAUGAAGACAUCUAACUAAUGGUGCCGCUCUUAUUGACAAAUCACAUAAUAAAUGGUCUCUUGGAUGACUGAAUUUGCUUCGGCUGAGUUCGACUGAAGGGUGUACCUAAGGCGUCAUAUUCCACCUCUUUUUACUGAUGGCCGUCGGCUUCUGAAGUUGGAGAAUAACCAUGACUUGCCUACAUAA
rnacentral:sRNA from 1 species